ensembl:lncRNA
AUGUCAACAAGACCUCAGAGUUUUUGGGACGCAUUAGGACCAUUUCCCAGGUCAGUGUGGAUUCAUCCCUGUACACCAGAGGACAGUCUGGACAGAGCCUGCAGAAGAGUAUUGAAGCGCUCUGAUCUGGCCAGCAAGGGAGUUUGGCCGCAUUUACCAGAAAAUGUGCAUGUGUUUGCGGAUGAAGGCGGUGAUACCAGGAGCUACAUAACCAGAGGAUAUGAUGGCAUCUAUCCACACGGAGUGUGGUGCAUCAAAAGUUGGACAAGGUCACGUUAAAGACUCAGCAUAACAUGACCCAGACUCUUCUGCAGGGGCAUGUUGAUGCCACAUGUGCAUGUUUUCCUGAUGAUAGAUGCAGACAUGAUCUUGAACCUGACAAGACCAUAGAGAUCAUAAGCCAGGAAGAGGCUGAAAGAGAAAAAAACUGAGUUUCCUGAAGAAAUUCUACCUAAACAGGCCACACAGAAAGCAGAUGUCCCCAAGGGGCCAUCAGAAAAAGACUUUCCUCCACUUCCACCUCCUUCCUCACCGCAGGUGGAAGCGCCACCACAGCAAGUCACCGUCAGUAAAAGUGCCUCCUAUGAAGCAACUGUCUUAAAAGGAAAACCAAACAUCCAAUUGCAUGGUGGCAAACCACAGAGGGUUCAAAAACGUAAUCAAAAAGAACACAGAGUCUCGGCUAAAACAGAAGAAGCACAAACAACCCAGGGCUUCAUUGACCAACCUAGUUCCCCCCAAACAGGAAGUGUAUGUAGAGAAAAAGUUAUACUGGAAGAUAUACUGUUUGCACAGUUCCAAAUGACAGAUGAGCAGAUAAUACCUAAAGAUCACACAUAGACAUGUGCCGGUAUUCGGUAAUGAAUAUGCACGAUAUUGUUAUCAUGGGCACUUCUAAAUACUGUAAAUAAUUAUAUAUUUCAAAUUAUUCCGAAUUUGGAAUGCAUUUUAAAAAUACUUUUCCCAUCAACUGGUCAAAAUGCACAACACAGCUGUAUGCUGCUUGAAAGAUGCUGUGCUCUGAUGUAAACAAACACGCACUAGAAGCACAUGGGGGAACACGUGAGAGACGCGUUGAAUGAAAGCACAUUCACUCUCUGACAGCAGAUGGCGCUAAACUGCAGAAAAUGCAGACAUUACCCUGGAAACCCCAUAAACAAAGCAGCUGCUACUUUCUAAAACAUAUUUAAAUAAUUUAAAUAAAUAGCCAUUCAGAUUUGUGUAUUCGAUAUGU